rnacentral:lncRNA from 10 species
CAUCCACCUGGGAGGUCCGGCUGUCCAGGGCGGGCGUCACCUGUUGGGGGUGCCAAUAAAGAUGCCGCCUAAGGGAACCACAUCCUGAUAAUCAUGUUCUGAGCCAUGGGGGAACCCUGCUGCACUCCAGCCUCAGACUCUGGGACAGAUGCUUAUCUCAAGACCUUCUGUGUGGGUAGUCUCAGAGCCCUUGGGACUGCCUUCGUCCACAACCUUGGGUUUGAGUCAUAUCACUACCGAAUUCUUCCCUCUGUUCAUGGAAAUCUGGUAACUACAUCAACGAGGUAUUUUCUACAGAACUGAUUGGGUUUUUUGUUUCUUUGCCUCAUAAGAUAUAAAAAUGUCUAAAGGCCCUGGAAUGUCACAGUAUUAAUAGCUGAUGUGUAUGGAAGGCCUACUAUGUACUGGGCAUAAUUCUAUGUGUUCUUCAUUUGUUAAUUCACUCAAUCCUUUUUUUUUCUUUUUUUUUUUUUUUGAGAUGGAGUCUCACUCUGUCGCCAGGCUGGAGUGCAGUGGCGCGAUUAUAUUCACCUAGAAGUUUGUGAACACUGUUCCUCUUUCAGUAAAAUCCAUGUUAUAGAUGCUGCUGGAUUUUAGGCAUCCAGAAAGGCCUGAGAUUGGCAGCUAUUUGUUGACAAUUCAAUGGGUAUAAAAGACGAAGUUUCUCUCUUGUCGCCCAGGCUGGAGUGCAAGAUCACUGCAACUUCUGCCUCCCGGGUUCAAGCAAUUCUCCUGCCUCAGCCACCCGAGUAGCUGGGACUACAGGCAUGCACCACCACGCCCAGGUAUUUUUUGUAUUUUUAGUUGAGACGGGGUUUCACUACGUUGGCCGGGUUGGUCUCAAACUCCUGACCUCAGGCAAUCUGCCCAACUUGGCCUCCCAAAGUGCUGGGAUUACAGGCAUGAGCCACUGUGCCCGGCUGAUCCUGGACUUUUGUUGUUGGGAAGCAUUUUAGUACAGGUGCAAUCUCUUUACUUGUAAGAUUUAUGUGCAGAUUUUUUAUUUCUUUUCAAACCAGUUUUGGUAAUUUGUGUGUUUCUAGGAAUUUGUACAUUUCAUCUCGGUUACCUAAUUUGUUGGUGUACUAUUCUCCCAU